rnacentral:lncRNA from 1 species
GAGAACGACCCAUUGGGAAAUAAAUGAGGAAAGACUAGAAAUUGGUUUCAAGUAACCAUGCCUACACGAGAACCAAGGAAGACCGGCUGCGUGGACGUGGAGGAUGUGACAUUACACGACGUUGGAACGUGGAUGGUUGCCACAUUAAUCCUCGGGUACAAAUUAGAAUUCGUGACAAUUUUUUGAAAAGAUAUGUACAGACGUAUGAUCCGUUAUUGGAAAACUGAAUAGGACGGACCAAUUUGUUCGAUCCUUUGUAGGAAAAAUGGUUUGAAUUUUGGCAAGAUAAGCAAGGAUUUCCUUGGUUCUGAG